rnacentral:lncRNA from 1 species
AUCUCUGUUUUUCCUCAAACUACAGGAACAUCAAUUAGAAAAAACUUGAUACCCUGGAUCAUUCUAGGGUCUGUGAUCAAUUGUCUCCAAAGCAGGAAGACCAAGGUCACAUCCCCUGGAUAAUGCUGUGAGCUGCACUCCCCACCACCAUUUUCCUGGAGGUUCAGAUGCAGAGCCCACCCAGCACCUCCCUGCCCUGGAGCCUGACUUUCUGGAGAGCAGUCUUUAACAGUUAGUGGGGACAUCAUCCUGACCCAGGUGCCAGCCUCCUGUCUCACAUCCAGGAAAGACAGUCUCCAUCUCCUGCCAAACCACUGCCCUUGUACAUGGAAAAAUGUUUUCAAUCCAGCUUUUCCUAGGACUCACGCUGGCCUCCUCCACAGUGGGAAUCAAGACCCACCCUCCUGCUACCCUCCCAGGAAUCCAGCACUCACUACUUGGAAGCUUUUCUUUGUAAACCCUCCAAAUGCAACCUCUGACAGAGACCUGACUGGAGUGGCCAGCGUCUUCCCACCAGAAAUCACUGAGAAGGAGAAACCUUCAAACACCACUUUGUUUUUGAGGAGAUGCAUAUAAUCCCCAGAUUUUAUAUCCUUUCCAACUGUUUUAUUAUUUGUUUCUUAACCACAAUUCUAUUCUUAUGGUCUUGAGGGAAGGAGGAAUUAAGGGG